GCCGCCCUCUUUCUUCGUGCUUAACACAUGCAAGUCGAACGGAAAGGCCCUGCUUGCAGGGUACUCGAGUGGCGAACGGGUGAGUAACACGUGGGUGAUCUGCCCUGCACUUCGGGAUAAGCCUGGGAAACUGGGUCUAAUACCGGAUAUGACAUUCCAUGUAGUGUGGGGGGUGGAAAGAUUUAUCGGUGUGGGAUGAGCCCGCGGCCUAUCAGCUUGUUGGUGGGGUAAUGGCCUACCAAGGCGUCGACGGGUAGCCGGCCUGAGAGGGUGGACGGCCACAUUGGGACUGAGAUACGGCCCAGACUCCUACGGGAGGCAGCAGUGGGGAAUAUUGCACAAUGGGCGGAAGCCUUAUGCAGCGACGCCGCGUGGGGGAUGACGGCCUUCGGGUUGUAAACCUCUUUCGACAGGGACGAAGCUUCGGUGACGGUACCUGUAUAAGAAGCACCGGCUAACUACGUG
rnacentral:rRNA from 1 species